AACGUGGAUGCAGGAGGUGUAACCUGGAUGCAGGAGGUGUAACGUGGAUAGAGGAGGUGUAACGUGGAUGCAGGAGGUGUAACAUGAAUGGAGGAGGUGAAACGUGGAUGCAGGAGGUGUAACGUGGAUGGAGGAGGUGUAACGUGGAUGGAGGAGGUGUAACGUGGAUGCAGGAGGUGUAACGUGAAUGGAGGAGGUAUAACGUGAAUGGAGGAGGUGUAACGUGGAUGGAGGGGGUGUAACGUGGAUGGAGGAGGUGUAACGUGGAUGGAGGAGGUGUAAUGUGGAUGGAGGAGGUGUAACGUGGAUGGAGGAGGUGUAACUUGGAUGCAGGAGGUGUAACGUGGAUGCAGGAGGUGUAACAUGAAUGGAGGAGGUGUAACGUGAAUGGAGGAGGUGUAACGUGGAUGCAGGAGGUAUAACGUGGAUGCAGGAGGUAUAACGUGGAUGCAGGAAGUGUAACGUGAAUGGAGGAGGUGUAACGUGGAUGCAGGAGGUGUAACGUGAAUGGAGGAGGUGUAACGUGGAUGCAGGAGGUGUAACGUGGAUGGAGGAGGUGUAACGUGGAUGCAGGAGGUGUAAUGUGGAUGGAGGAGGUGUAACGUGGAUGCAGGAGGUGUAACGUGGAUGCAGGAGGUGUAACGUGGAUGGAGGAGGUGUAACGUGGAUGCAGGAGGUGUAACGUGGAUGGAGGAGGUGUAACGUGGAUGCAGGAGGUGUAACGUGGAUGCAGGA